rnacentral:lncRNA from 1 species
CUAGCCGUGACCCUCGCUGACCCGCGUCGGAUUUGAAGGCAUCUCUGUAGGAGGAGGUAGUGGAUGACAGUGUGCUCCCAGCUCCCCUAGUGCAGCAUCGACAGCAAGAAUAAGACAAUCAGGAAGAUGGCAGCAGUAGUUCCUUAGAGUAGUACAGGUACGUACAACUGAUUCACGUUCUUCAUGUUUCCAUCGAAUAUUCUCUCCUCUGACAUGUAUCUCUCUCUUCUGCUCCUCAAUAUGCACUCUUAUGCAGUCGUUCUACUAUCACCGUAAGGCAGCUGAGUCGUCAUGCACACACCAAAUGCACAACUGCAGAGCAGUAUGGUAUGAUGGAUCGCCCACCGGGUUCAGGUACUUGCUGAGAAAACCCACUCUAAAUACCGAUAAAGCACUGCAGAGGCCGGUCUGCACGCAGCUCUGAAUCCAGCCCGCCGAACCAGCUUUAGGAUUUGUGCCGUUAGGCGUAUUGCAUUUUCCACCGCCACGUGAAAAGCCGUUUACCACCAUAUUUUCUGACAAGGCCCAUGCGGGAGGCACAUGUGUAGAACCUGGGCGAAGCAUAAUCACGUAUGUUAAUUAGCACAUAAUACAGUAGUUUGUUCCAAAAAUAAUAUCUAAUUAGCACCUUAACCUUUUGUUCUUUAUGAAAAGAGUCACGUAUGUUAAUUGUUUGCUAAAAAAGCAACAGCUAAUUGCACAAUAAUUUGAUGAAUUUGAUAUAUAAACAAAUAUUUACCAAGAUGAUAGCAAAAAAGCAAACAUAAUACCAUCAGUAUUUUUCUUCAACAAAACAAACAUGUGUACCAGUAGUGUUCCUGCACAUUUUAUUUCGUUAGACAAGAAAACAAUUUAAUGGAGAGCGUAUAGUAUAUUACUUACAAAGAAAUUAGGUCAUACAUGUUCCUAGCAUGGCUUGUGUACAUCUAUUUUAUUUACUUUUGUUUUGCGGGGCAUCUAUUUUCUUUACUGACUCUCUUAGAAUGAUGCGAAUACACGUACUGAUUAUUGAUAUGUUGCAAUCUAGACAAAUUAUAAUAAUGUCAUUUGUAGUAUGUAUACAUUUUUCUAGGAUCACAUGGAUACGUAUAACAUUAUACAAUAUGAUAAUUAUUUGUCUUCAUAUGCUAGAUACAACAUAUACAUAUGGGUCGAAUAUGAUUUUUUAUUAAUAAGUAUGUGGGAAAUAUCUUUAAACACUCCUUUUUAACAAGUAAUUGCCAUAAUUAAAAUACUUUAUGUUGUCAAAUAUAUCCUUCAUGGUUCAAACCAAAUAUUUCUCUUACCUCUUAGGGAGAAAUAGGGGUCAUCUUAAAUGAACUUUUUGUUAAAAGAGGCACAAUUAUUUACUACCUCCAUCUAGGUUUAUUAGUCUCCGUUGUAUUUAUUUCAAGUUUUGAUUAGUAAAUAUUAAUGUAUGUCAUAAAAUAUUAUAUUGUUGAAUUUGUAUUUAGAUGGAAAAUUUAAAUUCUAAUGAUAUUAUUGAUGCUACAUAUAACAAAUAUUUUAUUGCUUAAUGUUAUUUGUCAAAACAUGACCCAAAAUGCGAGGGGCUAGUAAUUCCAGAAGGAAGUAGUAAUUAUUUGCUCCAGAACAGUAGCUAAUUGCACACUAAUUUAAGGAUUGGUUUUAUAUAAACAGAGAAAUGCAUGCAAUGAUGAGGUGACCGAAUAGAAAAUUGAUACUUUUUGAUGCCAUGAACGGGUGAGCAAUAAGUUCAUCACAUAUUAAUUUCGAGCUGUCAAAUCAGUGAUUCAUCACGCUCAUUAAACAGCAGUUUCAUUGCAUUCACUCGAGCCUGACAAAUGGGCAACUCCCAUACGGUUGCACUAUUCACGCAUAUAUGUAUAUUGCCCCGUAUAAUUUAGAAAAGCCUGACACACUUAAUCACGAGGCCCAUAUCCACCAAGGGGAUAAUAAGCUGCCUGGCGCUCGGCCUCUGCGACCUAUUUGGCAGUAGCAGGUGAUCUCAUUUCUUUUCAACAGAGAGCCUCAUAGAUACUCUCUCAUUUAAACUGUAGCUCACAACACUCUUCCAUUCAGAUUGUAGCUCACCUUGUUGUCUCACAAAUACUUUUGCAUAUCCACAUGCUUGCACUUGCCCAUGCCCUUGCUUCCCUAGAAUUAAAUGGAGCACUGCUAUUUCGUGUUCCUGUGCUAACGAGUAGCUAGCUUACGAACAGUGCAGUCAAGAUCACAAGGACGCUCGUGGGAGUUUCGCUGAAAGAAUGGCCAAGGCUCAUAUGGUCUGUCAGUUUCAGGCUGCAAGCAUCUUGUAUACCACACCAUUGAAGAAGCAGCCAACAAACAGUCCACAACGCACUGCAUCUCCACUAAGUUGUCACGGAUAUUAGUAGAAGAAAACACCCAAUCUGCCCAAGUUUUUCCUCUUACUGUACAUUUUUUUCUUGUUGCACGUGCCAAGUAUUUUGGUUCCAGUCCAUGCAACCAUAGAUAGUUUGAGAAGUCUUGUAACUAGUUCAGUUGCCCCCCAAUCUGUUCAAUUGAGUGUCGAGUCUAUCCAUGCAUCAUCCCUUGUGCUUUCACAGUUAGUAACUUCCUAGCCCUGAUUAUUUCUAUGCUCAAACAUGUGAACCACAACGGCGCUGACUUCAAUCUGUUUUAGAUAUGCUUGAGCAGAGCCAACCUCAAUGUAACAUGCUGCUUGUACAAAGUGAAUACCUGAUGGGUGCGACAUUUUUAAAUCAAGUUGUCUAUUCACUAUGUGACACUGGUUGUACACUAAAAUUACAUUAGUUUGUCAUAUUUGCUAUUAAUGCAUUGUCCAACUCAUGAAUUUCUUGAAGUGGUGCAUGUAUAUAUUUGAUUGCUUAUUAAUUAGAAAAUGUCUUCAUCUAGUCUUGCUUCAUCAUCAAAUUUGUGAUACAUAUUUGGUGAACAUUUUUUCUCCUAUGUUAUUCAAUAAAAUCUAUAUGAUUUCUAUUAUUGACAUAAAAAAAUAUGACCUAAAUUACCUCUAGGUAUAUGCAGAAUUGCAGAUGCCAUCUACAAGUGAUUUCUAUUCUUGACAUAACAAGAUGAGCUAAAUUACUUCUACCUUUUCCAACUCAGACUUGUUAACUAUUGUUUCAUACUUUUGUUAGCAUAUCAGCAAGUCCGAAAUUGUGAAGCAUUUCUAUUCUUAUAUGUUCAUUCUUAUUUUUUGCACAGGUGAAGUGCGAAUCCAAGUCCGAAGCUGUGAAGCAUAUCACCAAAGAGUAGCAUAUUAUGUAUUGUAGUUGUAGGCAGUAGUAGGCUUAUUUGGGUUGUAGUAUAAUGUAAUGAUUGUAAUAGACUAAUGUAGUGUUGUUUUGGACGAAUUCCAUUUGCUCUUUGGAUUCUUCAAAAUAAUGAUUUUGUAUGUGAUUUGAAUACCUCGAAAAUGGUAACCUGGCAAAGGGGUUCAAGUUAUAAUGGUUGUUUGACAUAUUUUGAAAUUUCUGAUGCGUGGGACCAAUUUUGAGAUUAGGAUGACAUGUGGGACCAAUCUGAUUAGUGGGACCAGUACAAAAGUAAAAUGAAUAACAAAAUCAAUAGAAAGUAAAAGGUCACAAUCCAAAAUUAAAAAGGCUAAGAUGUUUUGGAUUAUUGGGCCAGGCCCA